rnacentral:rRNA from 1 species
UACAGAGGUGCCGAGCGUUAGGCGGAAUCACUGGGCUUAAAGCGUGUGUAGGCGGACUUCUAAGUACCUUGUGAAAUCCCACGGCUCACCCGUGGAACUGCUGGGUAUACUGGUCGUCUUGAGCCACCUAGGGGCGAGCGGAACAAAUGGUGGAGCGGUGAAAUGCGUAGAUAUCAUUUGGAACGCCAACGGUGAAAACAGCUCGCUGGGGCUGCGCUGACGCUGAGACACGAAAGCCAGGGGAGCGAACGGG